UCAAGAGAUACAUUUUACUUAUUUUUUAAAGGAAACCAGUUCAAUUAUCAGCCUUAAUUUGAGAAACAAAUUAAGCUGAUAAAAUUGAGGAAAGAUGGCUUCAUGUUUAUUUUAAGAAAAUUGACUCAAUUAUGUGGAUUUGAUUGAGAUGUUUGCAGUUGAAUCUCAACAACGGCAGUGACCUGAUGACACUUUGAAGAAGCACAUCAACAGUGAGCAUGUUAAGAGAUUAAUGAAAAAAAUGUUUACUGUAUUUUCCUACAAAAGAGGAGCAGUUUAUGGGUGCUAUACAGCAGAGGAAGAGCUCAUUCAGGAGUGCAAAUGUGGGAAUGCACAGAGAAUUGCUGUCUGCAAGAGGGAUGACCAACCAUGAGGACUUCUGCAUUGUAUUGGAUGAUGAGUGAGUCAUGGCUGGCUUGGAAAAUCUAGAAUUGCUGAACUGGAUUUAUACAAGUAU